UGACUAGCCUGAUUAGAAUAUAGUUGUAGCA
rnacentral:piRNA from 1 species